GCCUGGCUGGCUCAGUCAGUAGAGCGUGAGACUCUUGAUCUCGGGCUAGUGAAUUCAAGCCCCACACUGGGCA
rnacentral:tRNA from 1 species